CACAUGUUAUAAUAUCCCCUGGCACGCUGCCCUCCGUCCCAAUUAUCAAGCCUAAUCGCCACCACACACGUUCAUGUACAGUGACCACAACUUAGCAUUCUUGCCAGCACGCAUUUAAUGAUCGCAACAGCUUCAAAACAAGCCAAACGGAAUCAAGAUCAAGCGAAACCAGUCUUGGCUCCUAGUAAUCACUUUACUAUUUUUAAUUUUUUUUACUAAUUUCUCAAUGAUUUCACAGGAUCAAAACAAGCUCUUUUCUGAUUUUAUUUGCCUACGCAAGGAGAUUUCUACUGAAUUGCCGAUUCCUUUUUUUCCCUUCUCCAACAUUGCACAAGAACAAAUCCUAUACAAACCCUUGGCAAAAUCCUCAAUAACCCCAACCAAAUCAUGGAAUGGGUCCAGAGUUGAAGCCAAUACCAAUUCCGAAAACUUGCUAGGAUUACAGGUUCGAAAUCGUAUCAAUAACGGGACCAUCCGCCCCUCCUCCUUCCCCUUCGUCGGAGAACACCAUGUUAAGCUCCAACAUGUCUCCCCUGACAUUUGCUCCCUCGCAGCUGAGGAUUUGAUGAGUGAGAAUCUUUUUUCGUCUAUCUAGGAAACAGAGGAGAAAAACAACCAUGUUUGAAGAUUUGAUGUGGUAGUGAUCUUGCAAUUCCUGUUCUUUCUCCCGAAACAAUAAUUGAUAAAUCUCCACUCGUGCAUCACACUGAAAUCAUUACCAGGUUUUGGGAUUAUUCAUCUCUUCAAUUUUCUUCCCUUUUGCCUUCUUUUAAGCGAGGAGAGGACCCCCUUUAUUCCUAAAGUCACGACAAAUUUUGGAAAAGAAAAAAACCACGCACGAGCACACACAGUGUUAAAAAAUAAUUGGCCCGGAACGUAAAUAAAUCUUGACUUCAGUAGUCGAUCGUUCAAGCUCAACGAGUGAUGACUUCACCUACACAUCGAUCACAGAAAUGCAAAUGGGCCAAACUACGUAUUACGUUUUUUUUCUUCUUCUAUAAAUUACAAUUUUCUAUCCUGUACGAUCAACCCAGAUCUUGAACUUGAAUAAAAAUACUAAAAUACUCUUGGUGUAUAAUAUAUAAAAAAAACACCAAUAAAUGACUAGUCUUGUUAAGUGUAUGCUACUGGUCUUAGAGUUUCUAGCAUUUUUUGUUCCCUCGUGUCAAGUCUUGUUAAGUUACAAAAUUUAUGCACACCUGGAUCAGGAAACUUGAUUCUGGACAUAAUCUCUGCGUGGGAGAGAGAUGAGAAAAGAUUACUAUCUUCAAUUCUUCGAAACAGUAGCAUCAAGGGGAAGGUUUAUGUUCAUUUCUAUUAAUGGGGUUUAUUUUAUUUUCACAUGGGUUUCUAUUGUUGGCUUUGAUCUGUAGCGAGGUUUGGCUAGAAGUAGUGAAUUUGUGAUCGAUAUCUACGCUUUCUUUCCUUCUUUUA